GACAGAGGGUGCAAACGUUGCUCGGAAUUACUGGGCGUAAAGCGCGUGUAGGCGGGCCGGCAAGUCGGACGUGAAAUCCCUGGGCUCAACCCAGGAACUGCACUCGAAACUUCCGGUCUAGAGUGGUGGAGAGGGAAGUGGAAUUCCUGGUGUAGAGGUGAAAUUCGUAGAUAUCAGGAGGAACACCAGUGGCGAAGGCGGCUUCCUGGACACCAACUGACGCUGAGACGCGAAAGCGUGGGGAGCAAACAGG
rnacentral:rRNA from 1 species